rnacentral:rRNA from 1 species
UCCUACGGGAGGCAGCAGUGGGGAAUCUUAGACAAUGGGCGCAAGCCUGAUCUAGCCAUGCCGCGUGAGUGAUGAAGGCCUUAGGGUCGUAAAGCUCUUUCGCCAGGGAUGAUAAUGACAGUACCUGGUAAAGAAACCCCGGCUAACUCCGUGCCAGCAGCCGCGGUAAUACGGAGGGGGUUAGCGUUGUUCGGAAUUACUGGGCGUAAAGCGUACGUAGGCGGACCAGAAAGUAAGGGGUGAAAUCCCAGGGCUCAACCCUGGAACUGCCUCUUAAACUCCUGGUCUUGAGUUCGAGAGAGGUGAGUGGAAUUCCGAGUGUAGAGGUGAAAUUCGUAGAUAUUCGGAGGAACAUCAGUGGCGAAGGCGGCUCACUGGCUCGAUACUGACGCUGAGGUACGAAAGUGUGGGGAGCAAACAGGAUUAGAUACCCUGGUAGUCCACACCGUAAACGAUGAAUGCCAGUCGUCGGGGGGCAUGCCCUUCGGUGUCACACCUAACGGAUAAGCAUCCGC